AAAAACGUCGUAUAAUAAUGCCCACUAAUAGAAAAUGUCCAGUACUGAUAUUGUCAAUCGAAUAUACAAUCCUGGUAUAAAUUAUCCAACACAAAGUACGAAAAAAGUAUAGAACGAGUGAUGGAAAACAAAUAGCUACGGGGCAUACUCAGUCCACAACCCUCGCAUGUCCUCAAGGAUCUGUAAUACUCCAGAGCGUGGUCAAGGAAUCCGUCCUCUCCACCAGAUCCAGUAUAUAUGGGGACUAAAUCGAUGCAGAAAGUACGCAUAGCCUUCUCUGGUGCCUUCAUAGUAAUGAAGAAUCAGUAUCACAUCCAGUCUUAUGACACUAAAAUGAAUAACAAGAAAACACAAAAAUAGUACGAACCAACUAGGCAUGUGGCUCAUUUUGGUGCGCGAGUCGGGACGAUCAUUGGGUGUGUGCGGUCGAGGUACCACUAGAUGUAUUUAGCAGACAUGUUACCAUCAGCAGCUCCUGGCACACUGGGACUGCCGAAGAAGGGUAAGUGUGUCAAGGAACACUGCCAAUUGUAGUUGCACUUGUUGUGCUUGAAUGGAUAAUGUACUCCAUCCGUCGGCCUGGAUGUAUACUUUAGGGUGAGAAGUGCAUCUUGGAACGUCUGUCGAUACAUUACUGUCGGAUCAUGCGGGUGGGAUCGUGUGGCUCGAUGUAGUCGAAUACUUGUAUGCCUCCACUGGACCAGGACAACCGAGCCUCACCGUCAAAAUCUAGUAAACCAAAAGUAAGCCACUCGACUUAGGCGUGUGUCAUCCCAUCCA
rnacentral:lncRNA from 1 species